AAUAGAUACCCUGGUAGUCCACGCCGUAAACGAUGGAUACUAGCUGUUUGAGCGCAAGUUUGAGUGGCUAAGCGAAAGUGAUAAGUAUCCCACCUGGGGAGUACGGGCGCAAGCCUGAAACUCAAAGGAAUUGACGGGGGCCCGCACAAGCGGUGGAGCAUGUGGUUUAAUUCGAUGAUACGCGAGGAACCUUACCAGGGCUUAAAUGUAGAUUGACGUAUUUGGAAACAGAUAUUUCUUCGGACAAUUUACAAGGUGCUGCAUGGUUGUCGUCAGCUCGUGCCGUGAGGUGUCAGGUUAAGUCCUAUAACGAGCGCAACCCCUGUUGUUAGUUGCCAGCGAGUAAUGUCGGGAACUCUAGCAAGACUGCCAGUGUAAACUGUGAGGAAGGUGGGGAUGACGUCAAAUCAUCACGGCCCUUACGUCCUGGGCCACACACGUGCUACAAUGGCCGGUACAGAGAGCAGCCACUUAGCGAUAAGGAGCGUAUCUAUAAAGCCGGUCACAGUUCGGAUCGGAGU
rnacentral:rRNA from 1 species